rnacentral:misc_RNA from 1 species
GUCCCUACAACAUCCAUUUUAUCCACAGCUGAUACACAACUAAUGAUUCAACUAGGUCAUUUAUUUAUAUUUUAAAUUGCCUUCGAUGCUCUGUCAGAAGCCUACUUAACACUGAAUAAUCUAAAGCCCUGGUUCUUCUAUAGAUCUGAUAAGUAAAAGUGUUUUACAAAUGAGUUCUACUGAAAUAUUUUAAAUGUUUGCCCUUCCCACUCCCAUUUCCUAAUCCCUAUUCCAUGAAGCUUAGGUCAAUACAACAGUUUACAUAUGUUAACAUUUACAGAAGAAGAAUUCAAACAGAGGUGAAAUGAAAGAGACUGAUCUUUGAGCACUUUCCCAUGAAAAUGUUGUUAUAUAUCCUUUGUGAUAUAAAAUUUUAAAUCAUAGAAUUAUAAAUAUUUAUAAGGAACACAGUCAUAUUUUAAUUAAAAAGAAAGGACCAAAAGAAGUUAAAUGCCUUUCCUUUGUCUGUAUGACUGUAUUGUAAUAAAUUAGUCUCUCUGGAUGAAUAUCAGCAAAACUAACUUUCUAUGUAUUUCUUUUGAGUUUCAAACAGGAAACUUUAUCUGGGAAUACUUUAACAGUUCAUCUCUGGAAAUUUACAAGAGCUCUACAACUGUCCAUCGAAACUUCACUAUAAUGUGCUUAAGAGCCCUUAUAUGUGAUAUAAUUUUUAUAUGUUUUCAUCAGUAAGGAUAUCUUUAUGGACAAAUUCCAAAUGACUAAACAUGUAUGUGUAUGUGUGUUUCACACAUUGUCAGCAUAAAGUAAGUUCUUACUGUUAUCGUUAGACUUACACAGAUGAAUAGAUGGACAAAUAGGUAGGUAUGUCUGUUCAGAAUGAUAUUAUCUUGGUUGGAUUGCCAUUAGUAUCAGAAAAGAAAGUGUUCUUUUCAAUACCUAUGAUUUAAGGAACAUUUUGCUAUAAGCUCUAAUAUUUCAUAAUUUCCAUUCAAAACAAUAUACCAAAUGAGAAGGAUGGAAAGAAUAGUCAAGGCUUCUGCCUAUGAAUCAAGACAAUGGAUGUGGGCAAUAAGUCUACCAUGUCUGAAUUUGUUUUGCUGGGGCUCUCUAAUUCCUGGGAACUACAGAUGUUUUUCUUUAUGGUGUUUUCAUUGCUUUAUGUGGCAACAAUGGGAAUAUUUUCAAAACUGUGCUGCUUUUUGCAAUAUAAAACUGUGGAAUCUUUUGGAAGAGACGCUAUUGAUUUUCUGUGCUUUUGUGGAGAAUUCUAAAACUCAAGAACAUUUGCCAAAAUACCCUCAAAGGUGUAGCUGAUCAGCAGACAACUCUAUAAGGCAAGUCAAUAAUGAGAUUAAGUAGUUGGAUUGAUAGUAAAAUUCUGUGGCUGAUAAUAAAAAGGAUUACAGAAAGCCUUUGGAGGGCUUACAUAUAUAAAUGGAACUAUCACAUUUCUCGGUGGCUUAGUGUGAGGAGUCAAUAUUCAUGGUACCUCUGCAUGUUAUAUAAACACUUAAAAAUCUUAGUUAGGACUUUAGGACUCAUGGUGGUUGGUUUUAUCGAUAUAUCUCUUAGACAAGAUGCUGACACUCUUUCACCAAGGAUAACUGCAGUGACAUGGCCAUGGACUCGUUAAGCAAUAGUAAGGAUGGUGCCAGCUGCCACCAGAGUUUCCAGAGACAGAGAUAAUGUUCUGCAGAGAAUACAAGAUAAGCAGGCAAGUAUAAUUUUAAGUGAUCUGCACUAUCUGCAAUAACACAACUGAGGGAGUUCUGGAGCAUUUAUAAGAAGAGUGUGUUGACAAGCAACUUCAUCUUCCUCUACGUGUUUAGGAAGCUGUGAAGCUUGACAACAAUUGAAUGCAGAUGGAAAAACUGUUAAAAAUCAGGUAUAGAUAAAAACAGAUAAAGUGUAAAUUUUAAUAUGUGAAGGAACUGGAUAUAUGUAAUAGCAAUAAAAACUACAAAUUAUGUUUGUUUCUAAAAAUGCUUAAGAAAACUUUUAGAAUACUAUAUGGUAUAAUGAUGGUGGAUUUACCAUAAAGCUUGUAAAGCUUAGGUUUUAUAACUCCUCCUUUGCAUGGAUUUCCUCGAAGGCCCUAGAAUGGAAACUAACAACCUUUUAUUAGUUAUUUCGAUUUUUUUUUCCUGAAACAGGUGUCCUCAAACUGUAUAAGCUUUAAGCCUAGCUUGUCCAACCCAUGACCUGCAGGUUGCAUGCGGCUCAGGAGAUGGCUUUAAAUUCAGCCCAACACAAAUUCAUAAGCUUUCUUGAAACAUUAUAAGAUUUUCUUGUGAUUUUUUUGUAAAGCUCAUCAGCUAUCUUUAGUAUCAGUGUAUUUUAUGUGUGGCCCAACACAAUUCUUCUUCCAAUGUGGCCCAGAGAAGCCAAAACUUUGGACACCCCUGCAUUAAAAGGCUCUGCAGAAUCUGAAGUCUAAUGUGUAGUUUUAAAAGUCUUAGACUCUGGUAUCUUUUUUUUUUUUAAACAGUGUUUAAUACUACUUCUACUACUAGUGGUGUAAACUUAAGCUAAGUACUUAAUACCUCUUAGCCUCAGUUUCUACAUAUGUUAAAGGAGAUAAUAGUGGUCUCUACACCACAGAGUUAUUUGAGGCAUAAAAGAAGCAAAUAAUAUGAAGCAUAUGGUUGUCAAUAAAUGUUAGUCAUUGUAUCAUUCUGGGUGAUAACCUCUGGAUAUCUUUGUUUAUGGGACUUGAUAGUCUCUUGAGCUAACACUUGACUUGUUUAAUUUAAAAGGUAAAUUUUCAUUUAUAUGUUUUAAAUAUUCAUGUCUGUAUAUGUGUGUCAGUAUUAAUUUGAAAAAUUAAAAGUAACUUCCACUAGAAAAUUACACUGGUUCUUACAUUAAUUAAAGCUUCUGGAAACUUGUUUUUCUGUCUGUUCACAACUGUCAUUAAUCAAGAGAAGUAUCAAGUUGUUGCUUAAUCAUUAUGCUAUUGCUUCUUUACAAUGAAUAAAUAUUAAAUUGGUUUAUUGAUUUUAGGAUGAAUUCACAUUACAAUUGUUGUCAGAAUAAGAAUGAUGUUUGACUCAUAUUAUUAAGGUGAAGAGAUAGGCAGAUGGAUAGAUUAGUAGAUAGAUGAAGUUUUGUAUUAUAUGAGCUGUCUUAUGUGAAGUAUUUUUCUGCAUUGAUAAGGGUUUAGGAUAAUGUGAUCACUGGAUUAUGCUGCUAUAUAGAAGUUCUUGGUAAAAUGCUGUUAUUUGUGCAUAUCCAGACUCCUUAUGAAAGUAUUUUCAAAUUUAAAAAACUACCAGUGAAUCUAUUCUCUACAUGUGAGUUUUUAAACAACUCAGUUAUAGCAAAAUUUGUUGAGAGAGUUGGAGUAAUCCUCCUAUUUCCCUAUUCUUUCCCUGAUAUUAUUUUGCAUGAUUUUUGGAUGUAUAUGUCAAUUGAAAAACGGGGAGAAGAAAACAGCCAGGGAAAUCUAAUUCAUGUGAACUUCUUGCAUGUACUCUCAGAUGCCAAUGAAAUCCGCUAAGCAACUUGAUAGUUUUUUGGUUUAUAAGUUUCUGUUGUGCUUUGUUGUUUGGAAUUAUUUUUAAUGCUCUUGGUUACACCAUGAGGUAAAUAUGCACAAAUUAUUCUGGAGCGUGUAGGACCAACACUCAAAUGAGACUGGAAAUGUGACUGGGAUCAUUGAUUCAUGUAUUCUGUCUCUAUUGUUGCUAAUAUAACUCAAUUGACAUGUUAUUUUUUCUCUUUGAUUUUUGUAAAACAAACAAAUAAAUUCCAAUAUCUAGUAUGCACUAAAAUACUAUAGUUUCAUUUUUAUUUUUUACUCUGAUAAUUUACACUGCCAAUAUAAGGAGAUGAAUACCUAUUUUUUAAAUUAAAAAAUGUUCUCGGGCUGGAGGCUCCAGGUUUUUUUCCCCCAUUAGCCUUUUUAUGACUACUAAAUGCAAGACCACUGUUAAUUCGCCUUUUUUCUUUGUGUUUUAACUGUACUAGGAAUCUGAAGCCAUCAACAAAAGCCAGAUUUUUCUCCCUUUGCUCACUUGCCACCUGUUAAAGAAAAUUUAAAGGAGAGAUUUUUUUUUUUAGUUUGAGACUAGAAAUAGCAAUUUAAUUAGUAAUUUGUUUUUAUAUAAUAAUAUAUUUAUAUCAAUUUUUUCUUCUUGUUUGAGUGUACUUAUAUUGGUUGUCCUACAGUUAAGAAAACGGAAACCAUUGGGUAAAUUAAGCAGAUUUAAUACAAUGUAUUAAAUGCUUGUGAAUAAUUCAAAGACUUACAGGAACAUGCAUUGGAGGCUGCAACUGGAGCUAUUGUGUUCCAGAGCACAUUACCCCAGUAAUGUGAUGUAAGGGCAAAAGGCAAAAAGCCUUGGUGUCAUUGCCACUCCUUCAUCACCCUCAGCACUCUUGAAGGUGGUGAAUAGUCACUGGACACAGGUAUGGCUGCCACAGUUGCUUUCCCUCACAUCUCAUCAUCAUCUUGCUCACCAGCGGCAAUUAUAUCAGUAGAUCCCUCUGCCUCACUUGUGCUUUCUAAAGCUCAUUUGGUGCAUCUAAUUGGUGGAAUCUAUUUUGCACAGAGAAACUUGGCUUCAAAAAUCAAUUUGUAGAUUUCAAGAUUCUUAUGCAACAGAAAACAUGCUAAUAGAGGGUGGAUUGGAGGGAGACUCCGUCAAUCAAUCAAUAUCCAUUACUUUAAUUUUUUUAUUAUAACCUUUUUAUUGCAGUGUAAAAGCAAGGUAAAGAAAAAUACACAAACAUGUUUAGCUUAAUGAAAUAUUACAAGGCAAACACCAUUAUAAUCACAUUUCAAGUCACAAAAUAGAACUUCGCCAGCCACCCCUGAAGUCCUCAAGUUUGUUCAUCUCGAUGACAACUCUCUCCUCCAAAAUUAACCAUUACCCUGACUUAAUAAAUUAUUUGCAUUUCUUUUCAGUUUCAUGAAUACAUAUAUACUCAAAUAUACAUCCAUACACACUCAAACUUGGCCUCACCAACUUUGUUUCCUUUUCUUGUAGCCUACAAGUCUCACUAUCACUAUCUCUUCAAUUUCUGUAUAAUUUAUCUUUCUUUUUCUUUUUUUUUUCUUUUUUUUUUUUUUUUGAGACGGAGUCUUGCUCUGUCGCCCAGGCUGGAGUGCAGUAGCGUGAUCUCCGCUCAUUGCAAACUCUGCCUUCCGGAUUCACGCCAUUCUCCUGCCUCAGCCUCCUGAGUAGCUGGGACUACAGGCGCCCGCCACCACGCCCAGCUAAUUUUUUGUAUUUUUAGUAGAGAAGGGGUUAUAAUUUAUCUUUUGAAAAACCUGAGUUAUUUACCAUCUAGGGUCUCCCAGAGUCUGAAAUAUGCUGAUUGCAUGCUCAUGGUACAGUUCAACAUGGACUUCUGUCACUGCAUUUUCUGCAAAUUGCCUAUCCAGCAGCUUAAUCAUAUUUAGUUUGAUACUUUUUGCAAGACAAAUGACAGAUGAUGUUAUAUUUUUUCAUCCAAAAGAUCUUGAUGUCUUGCUUUAUCUCUUUGGGAAUGAUAGUGCUGUUGUUGCUGUAGUAGUUGAUAUCUCUAACCAUUUUUGUUGGCUGAAGCUUAUUCUCUACUAUAUUCCUCAGGAAGUCUUCUUGAAGACCCUAUUCUCUGAAUUCUGGCGUGUUGGCAAGUUUCUUUGAAACAUUUAUGUACUGUAAUUUCAUUGGCUAUUCCUUUAUUUUCUUGAUUAUCUUAAAUUGAAAUAAUGACUCUCUUUGUAAGCACUUUGUCUGGAGUCUGCAAAGCCUGUAUUUUUCUUCACUCACCCUAGCAUACCAUAUAAUUAGAAGUUUGGAACUGAUCUUUUAAUUUUUGGAGGGAGGUAUUAAUAAUCCUUCUGAUAUUUAUAUUAGUAGUUAAAUAAUUAAAUAGUAGUUAAAGUAAUUAAAUAGGACUCUAUUGCACUCAAGAGAUUUUAAAACGUUUAAAUUUCUAAAUUUCCUUUAAGUAUAUUAAAAUGUACCUAAAUAAAAUUGUUCUUCAAGAGUAACAUGUAAUUGAAUCAUCAACAUCUUUAUAUAACUUUUCCAAUUUUUUAAAGAAAGAUACCUCUCUUGCAGCUCAAUUGCUUUUUAAAUAAAAUAAAUUUGAAUCCCUGUUUGUACCUGGAGACCGUUUUGAUCUGCCCUCCUCACCUCACAUUUCACACAUGGAGAAAAAAAGUCUGCAC